AGACUGUCAUCCUGAGGAGUGUAAUGAAGCAUACAAUCAAGUUGUUAGAGUUUGAAAAGGUUAAAGCAGCUUCAGGGAUCACUAUUUGUGCUUCUUGGGUACUGGAACGUCAUGCCAGUAAUAAGCGAUAUGCAAGCCAAAGACAAAGAAGCAAUUAGUUCUCUGCAUUGGUGAAAGGCUGCCCAGCUACAGAGUGGAUGGGGAAGGCCGUGAAUUCUUUUCCUUUGAGGCUGAACUGAGUCACAAAGACUCAAGCCAGUGAAACUGUUCAUUUUCCAUGCUGCUAUCUUACACCACUUUAUAUACAUCAUAAUUAUGAAGAUACACCCCCAAGGGUUUUGUUCUGAAAUUAUUCAACCCCCAACUCCAAAUGCCCUAGCAGUAUUAGGUUAUGGAGGUUCAUCUGUGAGUAUUUUCAGAUUGUCACAUCUACAAUCACAUCUCAGUUAAUUAAGAGGAGCGAGUUGCAGGGAAAAGGUCAUAGUAGAUGAUGAUACCUGCCUGUCUGACCUUUGAGGAAGGGGAAUUUCUGAAACCUAAGGCUUCCUUGUAUUGCUCAAUUCAGUGAGAAAGAAAUCACUAAUGAUAGUAAGCAUUCUGUCAUUUUUCUAACACUUAUUAAUUAUUAAAACUUGUUAAGUAAUAAACUAGUUUAUGACAGCAGUUGCUCUAUUUGUAUUAUAAUUAUUAUCAUCAUUAUUA
rnacentral:lncRNA from 1 species